ACUCCUACGGGAGGCAGCAGUGGGGAAUAUUGGACAAUGGGCGCAAGCCUGAUCCAGCCAUGCCGCGUAGUGAAGAAGGCCUUCGGGUUGUAAAGCACUUUUGUCAGGGGGAACAUCCCCCGGGUUAAUACCCCGGGUGAUGACGUACCUGAGAGA
rnacentral:rRNA from 1 species